rnacentral:lncRNA from 1 species
UCGAUAGGUAGCUAUUUUUGUUUUUUGCUUUGAUACUUGUGGCGCAAGCUUUGGAUGAACUUCUGCUUCUGCGGUCGGCAUUCUUACAGGAGAACCCAAGAUUCACUGUACCUAGCUACAUGUCACCAUUGAAGCAAGGACCAGCUCGACUCCUGCAGUAGGAGUCCAGCCUCGUCCAGUCGUCGCCGCUCGCCAAGACCAGCCGGACUCCUGCAAUAGGGGUCCAGGCUGACCCGUUCGUCCAGUAACCGCCGCUCGUCAGCACCAGCUGGGCUCCUGUAGUAGGGGUCCAGCCUCGUCCAGUCGCCGCCGCUCGCCAAGACCAGCUGGGCUCCUGUAGUAUGGGGCUAGGAUGGCCCGUUCAUCAACCUUUCCUGAAGUCUUAUCGCUGUCAGCCAGCCGAACUCAGUACAUAAGUCACCAACCCUGAAUGUUGCCAGCCAAAGUCGGCAGUUUCCUUCGGACAGUCAUCUCACCAGUGUUGUACAGUGUACGAGGUUAGUGACGCAGUUAAAUGCGUCAAUUAAAUGCGAGGACGUGCGCUUGUAUGCAGCGUUUUGUCAUGUUAAGCUGCAUGGGUGUCGAUUUUCACCGAAUUGAGGGUGCCCACUGCCCGGGCGCAGCAAAUCCGCCGCCGCCUCAGCGGUGACCUUGACCCGCGCCGUCUGUUGGGGCUCCAAAGCCAAGCCAGCCGAGCCGGCGGGGAAUUUAAAGAGCUUGAGCACCCCCAACCCGGCGGAAAUUGACAUCUAUGUUGAGCUCUAUGGAUGCGUUUUAGCCUUCCGCCGUGGUGGUAAAUAGCAGCCUACGUGCAGAAUUAGGCAGGCUUAUUGGCGGGCUCAUUAUUGGAUUCAUUGUGUCACGUUUGUCGGCACGUGUAAGAUGUGCUUAACUGCCAUUGGCUCUCGGCCUGGCGACUUCUGGGGACCACGUAAUGGGGAUGACAAUUGGAAUCCUGUGCAUUUAGCCGGCCAUUUACGUCCAUGGCUAUAUACCCCCGUACUAGGGCUAGUUAUGACGUAUAUAGGGAUCCUCGAGAUCUUUUUUGAUGAAUGGGUUGUGCAGUGUUGAGAUCCGCGUGUAACGUCACUGUUUAGCCAGUCUGCCCUCAAACGGGUCAUCUUUACUCAUAUUUUAUUUACAUGAACGCUUUGCAUGGUCCAGUGGUUUAUAUAGACAUCUUCCUUCAUCCUUGCACUAGCUAGUUUUAUGUGGCCAGGUUGAUUGCCUGUCAGCGCGGUCACGCUGUCGUCUUUCGAUUGGUGCGCUUAAAUGCGGCGAGAUGAAUAUAGGAUUUCCUUUGAUGCUAUUUAGUACCUGCGCCCAGCUCAACUGGGGAAGGGGGGGGGGGCACUGCCGACUUUUGGUCCCAUUCUUUCCAUGUAACGCCCAUAGAGCCCAUGUUAAAAUGCCAAAAUCAAAGGGGGGCACGGUGCCCCGGUGCCCUCCCCGUUCCGCCGCCUAUGCGCGAAAGCACCAACUACCAUCAGUUUCCAGUUGUUUGUGUCCCAAUGUUUUUUUAUGAGUUGGACGAUUGGGCUUUUCCCAUCGCUCAUAGGUUAUGCAAAUAUUUUGUUAAACGCUCUAAAAUUGUUUCUCUACAAGUCAUUAGAACUUAGAAGCAAACAGAUAUUGAUGGAUACGAUCUCAAGGCGGCCGAUAAGAAGGAAGAGCGCGCGGCGCAAUGAUUGUGGAGCACAGCACACGAUUAAUGUGAGGCGCAUUUAAGCGAGAAAUAACUUUAUUGAGCAGAAAUGAGCAGAGUACCAGCAUUGAAACUGCACCAGUACCAGCAUUGAAACUAAAUAUAAGAUAUCUCAGAAGGUUGCGCUUUUGGGGUGAGUUGUGGUGCUUUACGCCGUACAUCAUGCUUAAUGAAUGUGACCGUCGUGUUUGUGGGAUCCCCGUCGGUACUAGUCAGCCCCACAAAUCGUGGUAUCAUAAAGAUAAUCUUCGCCUCCG